rnacentral:lncRNA from 1 species
AAGGAGAUGGUGGCUUUGAAUGCCAAACUGUAAGGAGAUGGUGGCUCUAAACACCGACCUAAAAAGAGAUGGUGGCUCUGAACGCUAAACUAUGAAAAAAUGGUAGCUCUCAAUGCCAAAACUGAGAAAAAAUGGUGGCUCUGAACACCAAACUAAAAAGAGAUGGUGGUUCUGAAUGCCAAGCUGUAAGGAGAUGUUGGCUCUUAACACCAAACCGAAAAAAGAUGGCGAC